CGCCAGCAGCCGCGGUAAAACGUAGGAGCCUAGCGUUAUCCGAAUUCACUGGGCGUAAAGCGCGUGCAGGCGGCUGAGCAAGUUGGAUGUGAAAUCUCCCGGCUCAACUGGGAGAGGUCGUUCAAAACUGCUCAGCUCGAGGGCGAUAGAGGGAGGUGGAAUUCCCGGUGUAGUGGUGAAAUGCGUAGAUAUCGGGAGGAACACCAGUGGCGAAAGCGGCCUCCUGGAUCGUACCUGACGCUGAGAUGCGAAAGCUAGGGGAGCAAACGGGAUUAGAAACCCCGGUAGUCCUAGCUGUAAACGAUGUAGACUGGGUGUGGGUGGGGUAAAAGCCAUCCGUGCCGAAGCCAACGCGAUAAGUCUACCGCCUGGGGACUACGGCCGCAAGGUUAAAACUUAAAGGAAUUGGCGGGGGA
rnacentral:rRNA from 1 species